GGCCAGGUAGCUCAGCUGGCUAGAGCAUCAUCCUGAUAUGUUGAGGUUGCUAGUUCAAUCCCUGGUCA
rnacentral:tRNA from 1 species